UACGUAGGUGGCAAGCGUUGUCCGGAUUUACUGGGCGUAAAGAGCGCGCAGGCGGUCGUUCAAGUCGCGUGUGAAAGCCCCCGGCUCAACUGGGGAGGGUCACGCGAUACUGAUCGACUCGAAGGCAGGAGAGGGUAGUGGAAUUCCCGGUGUAGUGGUGAAAUGCGUAGAUAUCAGGAAGAACACCCGUGGCUAAGGCGGUUCUCUAGUACGGUACUGACGCUGAGACGCGAAAGCGUGGGGAGCGAACAGG
rnacentral:rRNA from 1 species